AACGAACGCUGAUGGCGUGCCUCAUACAUGCAAGUCGAGCGCACCGCAAGGUGAGCGGCGAACGGGUGAGUAACGCGUGAACAAUCUGCCUCAAAGUGGGGGGAUAACCAUUCCAACGGAUGGCUAAUACCGCAUAGGGUUUGGAAGUGGCAUCACUUCUUCACGAAAGCAUUUAUGCGCUUUGAGAUGAGUUCGCGUCC
rnacentral:rRNA from 1 species